CCUACGGGCGGCAGCAGUCGAGAAUCAUUCACAAUGGGGGAAACCCUGAUGGUGCGACGCCGCGUGGGGGAAUGAAGGUCUUCGGAUGGUAAACCCCUGUCAUGUGGGAGCAAAUUAAAAAGAUAGUACCACAAGAGGAAGAGACGGCUAACUCUGUGCCAGCAGCCGCGGUAAUACAGAGGUCUCAAGCGUUGUUCGGAAUCACUGGGCGUAAAGCGUGCGUAGGCUGUUUCGUAAGUCGUGUGUGAAAGGCGCGGGCUCAACCCGCGGACGGCACAUGAUACUGCGAGACUAGAGUAAUGGAGGGGGAACCGGAAUUCUCGGUGUAGCAGUGAAAUGCGUAGAUAUCGAGAGGAACACUCGUGGCGAAGGCGGGUUCCUGGACAUUAACUGACGCUGAGGCACGAAGGCGAGGGGAGCGAAAGGGAUUAGAUACCCCUGUAGUC
rnacentral:rRNA from 1 species